CACUAAGAAGCUAAAUAGGGCUAUAGCGUCAGCCUUUUAAGCUGAAGAUUGGUGCCCCCCAACCACCCUUAGUGA
rnacentral:tRNA from 1 species